rnacentral:rRNA from 1 species
AGUGAACGCUGGCGGUAGGCCUAACACAUGCAAGUCGAACGGCAGCACAGAGGAGCUUGCUCCUUGGGUGGCGAGUGGCGGACGGGUGAGGAAUACAUCGGAAUCUACUCUGUCGUGGGGGAUAACGUAGGGAAACUUACGCUAAUACCGCAUACGACCUACGGGUGAAAGCAGGGGAUCUUCGGACCUUGCGCGAUUGAAUGAGCCGAUGUCGGAUUAGCUAGUUGGCGGGGUAAAGGCCCACCAAGGCGACGAUCCGUAGCUGGUCUGAGAGGAUGAUCAGCCAUACUGGAACUGAGACACGGUCCAGACUCCUACGGGAGGCAGCAGUGGGGAAUAUUGGACAAUGGGCGCAAGCCUGAUCCAGCCAUACCGCGUGGGUGAAGAAGGCCUUCGGGUUGUAAAGCCCUUUUGUUGGGAAAGAAAUCCAUCUGGUUAAUACCCGGGUGGGAUGACGGUACCCAAAGAAUAAGCACCGGCUAACUUCGUGCCAGCCGCCGCAGUAAGAC